ACUGCUGCUGCUUCAUAAUCCCAUGGGAAUGACUAGAAUAAAGGGGAUGAUGGAGAAGGAGAGACAAGACACAUGGAGCUCUGGGGAAAAGAUGGAAAACAGGAGGAUGGAGACCAGAAGUAAAGUAUGAAAAUGGGCUGAUGCAAAAGUUGCUGAUUUAAGAAAUCCAAAACCAAACGUCCGUGUGUCUGGAGUCCGUUACACGCUUGCAUGGUGAACCCCAAAAAGGAAAUGUCCAUCUCUGUUAUAAUGACCUGCUACAAUGUUUUACUCCAAUACAGAAUGGAGGGAGUUGUAUUCCAAUCAUCUUUGAGGAAGGAUCUGAUUUUUUAUUGACGAUGAGGGUCUGUUGUAGCAGGAGGGCCCCAUAUCCCCGGGAGGAAGAUAUUUUGGAAGAUUUGGGCAGUCGCUUACAUCCUGAGCUUCAUACUUCAAAUUCGUUGCUGUUAAAGCAUGCUUGCACUAGUAGAAGCAAUUGGAUUGGCUAGAUUAUAUAUUUCCCAGAAUUCUUGUCUGAUAUAGGAGGCCAGUAGCCUAGAAACAUCUCUAUAUCCCAUAGGAAUUCAGCUAAAGGCAACACAAUAAAGUCUAUUAUCUGGAUAUUUACAAUA